rnacentral:rRNA from 1 species
UUGAAAGGGAAACGAUUGAAGUCAGUCAUGCUAAUAGGGAAUCAACUUGAUGGGUCGUUCCCCCGGGAGCAAUCUUUCUUGUGCACUUCCUUGUUCGGCAGGUUAGUAUCAAUUUCGGUUGUCAUUAAAAAAUUGAGGGAAUGUGACUUCUUUCGGGAAGUGUUAUAGACCUUGAUAUAUGUGGUGAUCGGGAUUGAGGAUUGCAGCGGAUGCUUUUGGGCUAGUCACCUACCUUCUGACGGUUACCCCGCUUUCGAUAGCUUGCUAACGACUGUGGGAUUUAACAGUCUAGAUGUUGGAGUGUAUCUUAUAUUCGCUAAGGAUGCUGACGUAAUGGCUUUAAACGACCCGUCUUGAAACACGGACCA